AUAAAUGUAGUGAUGGAGAGGAUUACAUAAGUAACCUUGUCAGAGAUAACAAUCCAUUGGCUGUGAGGUUGUUUCAAGUAGUGCUUAUCGAAGGUAGCUCCGGAACAGUGUUUCUGAAACUUUAAGUAGCGUGUAGGAAAUGCCGGGAAGUCCCGUUAUAGACGAGCGUUUUAUAUGAAAUGCGAAAAAGGUGAAUAUUAGAAAAAUUCUUACUGUCACAAUUGGCGACAAGAUAAGAAAUGUUUCUUUUCACAAAUUAAGGUGGUACCACGGUUCUUCGUCCUUAUC
rnacentral:ncRNA from 1 species